rnacentral:rRNA from 1 species
AGAAUCAACGCUGGCGGCGUGCCUAACACAUGCAAGUCGAACGAGAAAGUGGAGCAAUCCAUGAGUAAAGUGGCGCACGGGUGAGUAACACGUGACUAACCUACCUUUUAGUGGGGGGAUAACCUAGGGAAACCUGGGCUAAUACCGCAUAACACUUACGAGUCAAAGCAGCAAUGCGCUGAAAGAGGGGGUCGCGGUCGAUUAGUUAGUUGGCAGGGUAAUGGCCUACCAAGACUGUGAUCGAUAUCCGGCCUGAGAGGGCGCACGGACACACUGGAACUGAAACACGGUCCAGACUCCUACGGGAGGCAGCAGUGGGGAAUUUUGCGCAAUGGGGGAAACCCUGACGCAGCAACGCCGCGUGGAGGAUGAAGUCCCUUGGGACGUAAACUCCUUUCGAUCGGGACGAUAAUGACGGUACGGAAGAAGAAGCCCGGCUAACUUCGUGCCAGCAGCCGC